rnacentral:misc_RNA from 1 species
GAAGACCCAUUUCCAAGGGUACAUGGUGAAGUGCAAAUUAUGAGUUAUUGAAUAGUGUUUCUCAUACAAGUACAUUAAACUUUGGUUUUUAGCCAAAAUGUAGAAAUAAAGUAUAAGUUAGUAACAUAAAAAUAUAAGGUUUACUUAUAAAUGAACACAAUCUAAAAUCAAAUCGAUUCCAUUGGUUUGUAAAUUUGUCAAAUUGCAACUGAACAGGUAAAAUAAAUUAUCCAAAAGUAGGGUUAACCAUAUGAACAUACACCCAUUUCACUUAAGCCCAAUAAAAUAGGCCAUCUUAUGAGGCCCAGCCCCAGCUACAAGCUAUUAGAUGAAAAAAUAAUAUCAAGUAUCUGCCAUUAAAAGUGAAGGAAACACCUGACAUGUUUUCUUCUAAUUGACA